AUUGAACGCUGGCGGCAGGCCUAACACAUGCAAGUCGAACGAGUGGCGGACGGGUGAGUAAUGUCUGGGAAACUGCCCGAUGGAGGGGGAUAACUACUGGAAACGGUAGCUACUACCGCAUACGAUCGGAUAUGCCCAGAUGGGAUUAGCUAGUAGGUGGGGUAACGGCUCACCUAGGCGACGAUCCCUAGCGUGUCUGAGAGGAUGACCAGGCACACGGGAACUGAGACACGGUCCAGACUCCUACGGGAGGCAGCAGUGGGGAAUAUUGCACAAUGGGCGCAAGCCUGAUGCAGACAUGCCGCGUGGAUGAAGAAGGCCUUCGGGUUGUAAAGUACUUUCAGCGAGGAGGCGGUACUCGCAGAAGAAGCACCGGCUAACUCCGUGCCAGCAGCCGCGGUAAUAC
rnacentral:rRNA from 1 species